CACAAUGUCAGAAAGAUAUUUAUCAGUUUAGAAUUGACUUGUUCUGGCCCUAUAAUAAUUUUCUGAUUUUCCGUUGUUGCAGAGAGAUCAUAAUAGUGUUAGUCUCCACAGGCAGCAGGUUGAACUGGACAUGACUCCGUUAGGCCCUCGAACUAGACCUGGAGGUGUGAGGGGAAAAGGAGAACACCUUGAACAUUCUGCUCUAAACAGACUAACUAUAUUCAGGGUGUGGAGAGAAGAGGAUGGCCAAUGGUUUUGUACCAGUGUUUGAUAUGGCAGCAUGCUUGGUACUGCCUUCCUCUUCUCUGCUCUGUAGAGCUAGGAACAGUGGAUACUAUAGAUGGAAUAGACCAGUCCUUCAAUUUGCUCAACUACCCCUCCCCCUCCACACCUGCAGUGCAGAUAUGGUGUCCGUGUCCUCUCUGUUUAAGUGUACCUGUUUUCGAGAGAGAGAAUGUCUGAAAUAGCAUGUUGUCCACUAGGGGAGUAGGGUGUUAUUUCAGCUUCAGCCCAUAGACCACCUCAUUUGAAGCCAAUGCCUCACCUCUGUAUGAGCUUUAACUCAUUCUCAAUGUUAAAAACCAUGCCCCACGAGCCAGGUCAAGGUAUGGCCAUGUCUAUGACACAAAGAAAUAUAUCCCUUUCAGUUAUUUUGAAGGGGAAACUACCUGAAGAAUAUACAUUUCUCUUUCUCAAGUGUUUUAUCUUUUUAAAGUUUUUUUUUAAUACACCGUUAUGUUUAUUACAGACAGAUGUUUGUAAGAAAAUAAAUCAUGCAUUUUAAUAUUUUGUCAUGCUGCAAUGUGCACCAUUUAUUAAAUUUUUAUUUAAUUAAAAUAAAGAAUACAUUUCUUUCUAUUUUUAAUCUGUAGUUUGGUGGAAUACUUUUGCUAGUUAGAAUUUUUUUAAUAUUGUAUAUUUCCAACAUUGCUUCCUGUUAUCAUGUUAAUAAAGUGUUCAUACAAAUUGAGAAACACCUGACAAACUUUAAACAGAUGUAAAAAUAUAUAAAUGUAUAUUGAAUUGUGUAGGCUACAGUGUGUGGAAAACUUCUGGACCAGGCAUUGUGUAUACUAAUAGUAGCAACAAAAUGUUAUAUUCUUUGUUCCUUAAACUAUUUAAUAAGAUGUUACAGAAUUAA
ensembl:lncRNA